UACGUAGGGUGCGAGCGUUAAUCGGAAUUACUGGGCGUAAAGCGUGCGCAGGCGGUUCGCCAAGUCAGGUGUGAAAUCCCCGGGCUUAACCUGGGAAUUGCGCUUGAAACUAGCGGGCUUGAGUGUGGCAGAGGGGGGUGGGAAUUCCGCGGUGUAGCAGUGAAAUGCGUAGAGAUGCGGAGGAACACCGAUGGCGAAGGGCAGCCCCCUGGGCUAACACUGACGCUCGAGGCACGAAAGCGUGGGGAGCAAACAGG
rnacentral:rRNA from 1 species